rnacentral:rRNA from 1 species
CCUACGGGUGGCAGCAGUCGAGAAUCAUUCACAAUGGGGGAAACCCUGAUGGUGCGACGCCGCGUGGGGGAAUGAAGCUCUUCGGAUUGUAAACUCCUGUCAUGUGGGAGCAAAUUAAACAGUUCGCUCCACACGAGGCAGAGAUGACUAACUCUGUGCAAGCAGCCGCGGAAAUACAGAGGUCGCAUGCGUUGUACGUAUUCACUGGGCGGAAAGGAUGGGUAGGAUGUUACGUAAGUCGUGUGUGAAAGGCGCAGGCUCAACCCGCGAACGGCACAUGAGACUGCGAGAAUUGAGUAAGGGAGAGGGAGCCGGAAUUCUCGGUGUAGCAGUGAAAUGCGUAGAUAUCGAGAGGAACACUAGUGGCGAAGGCGGGUUGCUGGACAGUAACUGACGCUGAGGCACGAAGGCGAGGGGAGCAAACAGGAUUAGAUACCCUAGUAGUC